rnacentral:rRNA from 1 species
CUUAACACAUGCAAGUCGAGGGGCAUCAGGAAGAAAGCUUGCUUUCUUUGCUGGCGACCGGCGCACGGGUGAGUAACACGUAUCCAACCUGCCCUUUACUCGGGGAUAGCCUUUCGAAAGAAAGAUUAAUACCCGAUAGCAUAAUGAUUCCGCAUGGUUUCAUUAUUAAAGGAUUCCGGUAAAGGAUGGGGAUGCGUUCCAUUAGGUUGUUGGUGAGGUAACGGCUCACCAAGCCUUCGAUGGAUAGGGGUUCUGAGAGGAAGGUCCCCCACAUUGGAACUGAGACACGGUCCAAACUCCUACGGGAGGCAGCAGUGAGGAAUAUUGGUCAAUGGGCGGUAGCCUGAACCAGCCAAGUAGCGUGAAGGAUGAAGGCUCUAUGGGUCGUAAACUUCUUUUAUAUAAGAAUAAAGUGCAGUAUGUAUACUGUUUUGUAUGUAUUAUAUGAAUAAGGAUCGGCUAACUCCGUGCCAGCAGCCGCGGUAAUACGGAGGAUCCGAGCGUUAUCCGGAUUUAUUGGGUUUAAAGGGAGCGUAGGUGGACUGGUAAGUCAGUUGUGAAAGUUUGCGGCUCAACCGUAAAAUUGCAGUUGAUACUGUCAGUCUUGAGUACAGUAGAGGUGGGCGGAAUUCGUGGUGUAGCGGUGAAAUGUUUAGAUAUCACGAAGAACUCCGAUUGCGAAGGCAGCUCACUGGACUGCAACUGACACUGAUGCUCGAAAGUGUGGGUAUCAAACAGGAUUAGAUACCCUGGUAGUCCACACAGUAAACGAUGAAUACUCGCUGUUUGCGAUAUACAGUAAGCGGCCAAGCGAAAGCAUUAAGUAUUCCACCUGGGGAGUACGCCGGCAACGGUGAAACUCAAAGGAAUUGACGGGGGCCCGCACAAGCGGAGGAACAUGUGGUUUAAUUCGAUGAUACGCGAGGAACCUUACCCGGGCUUAAAUUGCAGUGGAAUGAUGUGGAAACAUGUCAGUGAGCAAUCACCGCUGUGAAGGUGCUGCAUGGUUGUCGUCAGCUCGUGCCGUGAGGUGUCGGCUUAAGUGCCAUAACGAGCGCAACCCUUAUCUUUAGUUACUAACAGGUUAUGCUGAGGACUCUAGAGAGACUGCCGUCGUAAGAUGUGAGGAAGGUGGGGAUGACGUCAAAUCAGCACGGCCCUUACGUCCGGGGCUACACACGUGUUACAAUGGGGGGUACAGAAGGCAGCUAGCGGGUGACCGUAUGCUAAUCCCAAAAGCCUCUCUCAGUUCGGAUCGAAGUCUGCAACCCGACUUCGUGAAGCUGGAUUCGCUAGUAAUCGCGCAUCAGCCACGGCGCGGUGAAUACGUUCCCGGGCCUUGUACACACCGCCCGUCAAGCCAUGGGAGCCGGGGGUACCUGAAGUACGUAACCGCAGGGAUCGUCCUAGGGUAAAACUGGUGACUGGGGCUAA